UAGGGAAUCUUCGGCAAUGGACGGAAGUCUGACCGAGCAACGCCGCGUGAGGGAAGAAGGUUUUCGGAUCGUAAAGCUCUGUUGUUAGAGAAGAACGUUGGUAGGAGUGGAAAAUCUACCAAGUGACAGUAACUAACCAGAAAGGGACGGCUAACUACGUGCCAGCAGCCGCGGUAACACGUAGGUCACGAGCGUUGUCCGGAUUUAGUGGGCGUAAAGCGAGCGCAGGCGGUUCUUUAAGUCUGAAGUUAAAGGCAGUGGCUUAACCCUUUUCCUCGUUGGAAACUGGAGUACUUGGGUGCAGAAGUGGAGAGUGGAAUUCCAUGUGUAUCGGUGAAAUGCGUAGAUAUAUGAAGGAACACCGGUGGCGAAAGCGGCUCUCUGGUCGUUAACUGACGCUGAGGCUCGAAAGCGUGGGGAGCAAACAGG
rnacentral:rRNA from 1 species